rnacentral:tRNA from 1 species
GGUCCCUGUGGUGAAAUUCAUGUUGAGUUGCAAACUCAGUGAUGUACAUUGAGAGUGUACCGGGGCCU